UAAUACGUAGGGGGCAAGCGUUGUCCGGAUUCAUUGGGCGUAAAGAGCUCGUAGGCGGCUUGGCAAGUCGGGUGUGAAAACUUCAGGCUCAACCUGGAGCGGCCACUCGAUACUGCCAUGGCUUGAGUCCGGUAGGGGACCACGGAAUUCCUGGUGUAGCGGUGAAAUGCGCAGAUAUCAGGAGGAACACCGGUGGCGAAGGCGGUGGUCUGGGCCGGUACUGACGCUGAGGAGCGAAAGCGUGGGGAGCGAACAGGA
rnacentral:rRNA from 1 species